rnacentral:rRNA from 1 species
AUUGAACGCUGGCGGCAUGCCUUACACAUGCAAGUCGAACGGUAACAGGUUAAGCUGACGAGUGGCGAACGGGUGAGUAAUAUAUCGGAACGUGCCCAGUCGUGGGGGAUAACUGCUCGAAAGAGCAGCUAAUACCGCAUACGACCUGAGGGUGAAAGCGGGGGAUCGCAAGACCUCGCGCGAUUGGAGCGGCCGAUAUCAGAUUAGGUAGUUGGUGGGGUAAAGGCCUACCAAGCCUACGAUCUGUAGCUGGUCUGAGAGGACGACCAGCCACGCUGGGACUGUGACACGACCCAGACUCCUACGGGAGGCAGGAGUGGGGGAUUUUGGACAAUGGAAGCAAGUCUGAUCCAGCCAUGCCGCGGGCGGGAAGAAGGCCUUCGGGUUGUAAACCGCUUUUGUCAGGGAAGAAAAGGUUCUGGUUAAUACCUGGGACUCAUGACGGUACCUGAAGAAUAAGCACCGGCUAACUACGUGCCAGCAGCCGCGGUAACAC